ACUAACCUGAAAUGCACGAUAAUUCUUGUUGUUUUGAACCUACAUUUACUUUAAACGGGAUUCCUACAUCGUCACGUGGAUGUCAAGCCUCCGUCUUGCAGUGGAAGGCAGAAGCGUGUCUGCGGUUACCCACCUAGCAUCGCUAGGAGUCAAAAGACAAGAACCGGCAUUUUGGGGACACA
rnacentral:other from 1 species